CUAMCAUGCAGUCGAGCGGUUGACGGGAGCUUGCUCCCUGAUUCAGCGGCGGACGGGUGAGUAAUGCCUAGGAAUCUGCCUAUUAGUGGGGGACAACGUUUCGAAAGGAACGCUAAUACCGCAUACGUCCUACGGGAGAAAGCAGGGGACCUUCGGGCCUUGCGCUAAUAGAUGAGCCUAGGUCGGAUUAGCUAGUUGGUGAGGUAAUGGCUCACCAAGGCGACGAUCCGUAACUGGUCUGAGAGGAUGAUCAGUCACACUGGAACUGAGACACGGUCCAGACUCCUACGGGAGGCAGCAGUGGGGAAUAUUGGACAAUGGGCGAAAGCCUGAUCCAGCCAUGCCGCGUGUGUGAAGAAGGUCUUCGGAUUGUAAAGCACUUUAAGUUGGGAGGAAGGGUUGUAGAUUAAUACUCUGCAAUUUUGACGUUACCGACAGAAUAAGCACCGGCUAACUCUGUGCCAGCAGCCGCGGUAAUACAGAGGGUGCAAGCGUUAAUCGGAAUUACUGGGCGUAAAGCGCGCGUAGGUGGUUUGUUAAGUUGGAUGUGAAAGCCCCGGGCUCAACCUGGGAACUGCAUCCAAAACUGGCAAGCUAGAGUACGGUAGAGGGUGGUGGAAUUUCCUGUGUAGCGGUGAAAUGCGUAGAUAUAGGAAGGAACACCAGUGGCGAAGGCGACCACCUGGACUGAUACUGACACUGAGGUGCGAAAGCGUGGGGAGCAAACAGGAUUASA
rnacentral:rRNA from 1 species